rnacentral:rRNA from 1 species
AUUGAACGCUGGCGGCAGGCCUAACACAUGCAAGUCGAACGAGUGGCGGACGGGUGAGUAAUAUCUGGGAAAGUGCCUGGUAGAGGGGGAUAACUACUGGAAACGGUGGCUAAUACCGCAUACCAUCGGAUGUGCCCAUAUGGGAUUAGCUAGUAGGUGGGGUAAAGGCUCACCUAGGCGACGAUCCCUAGCUGGUUUGAGAGGAUGACCAGCCACACUGGGACUGAGACACGGCCCAGACUCCUACGGGAGGCAGCAGUGGGGAAUAUUGGACAAUGGGGGAAACCCUGAUGCAGCCAUGCCGCGUGUAUGAUGAAGGCCUUCGGGUUGUAAAGUACUUUUAGCGGGGAGGCGGUACCCGCAGAAGAAGCACCGGCUAACUCCGUGCCAGCAGCCGCGGUAAUUC